UUGUGGAAGGUUGGUUAGUGGAAGAGAGAGUUACUUAUGCAUCAGAUGGUGCAAAGCAUUUCACUGUUAUGCCAUAGUGUAGUUUUAUCACCUUUUUUUCUCUUAAGCUACUUUUGGAAAGCAUUGAUUAGAAUAUUUUACUAAUAUAUAGAAGAGGCUAGAAGCAGGCUGCUCUUGGUCAACAUGCCUGCUUUAGCCAGGGGUAUUUUUGUCUUCCUCCGUGCAACUAUACGUGCCCUUCGUUGGUGAUACACCGCUUCUUCUCAGUGUUUGAUACACCCCUUCUUCUCGCAUACAAACGAUGUAAACUCUUUUCAUUAAUUCCAUGGAAUUGCUCAGCUGCGAUUCUUUUUCUCUUAUCUCUUCACCUGGAAAAGCACCCCAAUACUCAGCAGAUAAAGCCAGCGCUGUUAAAGUAGGCGACGUGAUAGUUAUAAACAACAGUCAACAGAUAAAAAAGAAGCGCUUCGUCUACAACGUCGGACGAGACGACAGGAAUCGAACAACCAAAACCUUCUGAUCGGAUGUCUUACACUGCUGCCUAAUACUCAAUUUUGACUAAUUGGAUAGAGGGGUAUUACUAUUAGAGAGUUACCAUGUCAGGCUCAAACAGUCAGCACCUCCGGCGAUGAUACUUCUACAGCUGUGCAAGGCAAAGGAAAGAAUAUAGUUAUGUUUCUACAUUUUUGAACCAGGUUCAUCGUCACUGUCCCCUCAACAGCAUCAUCCGAAGGCAAUGGCUGGCAAAAAUAAAGGUAAUAGGUUAAGAAGUAUAUGUUUUUGCGAUAUUAAACAACUUCCCAAUGAUGCUAGCCAGACUAAAACUGAGAAUGAUGAGCCAGCAAGUGAUCUUACAGCAAGUGUUGAAGAGCAAGAUUUUUCUUCAUCACUACAAUCACAGGAGAGUGGUAAAAUGGAGGAGUGAAAAACAUUAAAUACUUCUGAAGAUGAAUCUGGUCGAAUCAGAGAGGGGCAUUCCUCCAUCUGGACUUGGUCAGAAGAUUUAUGAAAUAGACCCGCUUUUGGCAAAACUAUCAUCAACACCUUGAUUGCAGUGGCAAGAGUAGUGACCCUCAAUACAAGCCAACAGGUUUGAAUGCGUUGACGAUAGGUUCACAAUUGUUGGGUCUGUUCCAAAAGCCGAUCACGAGGAGGCAAGGCACUUCCUUUUUUUGGAUGUGGAACACCAACAUCCAGAUGUUGAAUUUCGCCGUGAUGAAGCUAUUCAAAUGAACACGCCAACUCCUACAAAGAUGUCAAUGAUACCUUCAUUUUGCUGCAUUGUACUUUUCGGUGGUUGUUGCACGGGCGCCACUUAUCUAGUAGUUGUAGAAGUAUCCUCCUCAUCUAUUGCUAUCCCAUUCCUUGCUCCUCUUUUCAGCUAUACCUGUGAAUUAUGAGGUCCGGAAAAAAAGGUAUGGGGCCCAGAGUUGCAAAGCGACACUGGAACUUCCUUCCCCGCAGCCAAGAAAACUAAGUGGAGAGCACUGUCAAGAGAGAGACUCAAUUUCACAGAAUAUUCUGUGGAGAAGUGCUUCUGAAAAGCAUGAUGCCGAGUCCAGAUUCCUCUGUCAGAUCAAAAGUUCAAGUCGGUAAAUUGAUGGCUCUCUUGCUCAUUGCACAGUCAGUGUUAACUGGAAAUCCAGAAACUCUGCUCAACCCCUUUCAUCUAAUGUUUUUCCUAUAGAGGAUGAUUUCCUGGAUAACAAAUUCAGUGCUUCAGCUAGCUCUAUUGUAGCUGGCAGAUCAAUGGAGGAUUCCUCAUCUAGGGAGUCUCUUGAACUUGAUGACAGUUCAAAUGUAAUGCAUGAGAGAAGGAAAUCAUUUAUGUGGAGCUGUUCAUUGCACAGUAGCCUGAUACAUGAUGGAUCAUCUUUUGCUAGUGAUGAAUGUUAAGUUUGAAAAAAGUAACCACAGAAGUAAACAAAAUCUCCUUGACGAUGAUUGUAGUUUUGAAUUUGAAGUAGCUGAUUAUGUUAACCAGGUCUUAAAUCAAAGGUCUCCUUGAGGCAAGGCCAAGGAAAUAUAUUAUGAGAACUUUUCCAGGUGCAAAACUCAGAGCAAGGUAUUGCAGAGUCAAAAUUUGUCAGGAGAUUCAGAAAAAUCUUCAUUAUCCAAGGACAUUGUGGAUGACGAUGAUCAUCUUAUGGAUUUCAAUAAACAGACUGAAAAUCAUGGUUCUGGCCUGCUACCUUUUAGUCCAGAUCUGUCUCCUCGGCCACCAGAUCCUUUGCUCAGGACCAGGGUUCAAGAUUUUAAUCCUUACAUCGCUGAAAAUGGGAUUGAAACUUCUGUUAGACAUGAAGUUGUUGUCGCAUACAAUUUUGGAAACUUGGAACAUAAUAUCUUGGUCCCUGCCAUAAUAUCUUAGUAUAGGGGCACUUGAUCCGUGUGAUGUUUAUAGUUCAGGUCCUUCUGAAUUCUAUUAUGACGGAGAUGAUUUGGCACAUGCAUUCUCAUGGUGAAGAAAGUAAGUUAUGCUCAAUGGAUCUGGUGUUGCACGAGAUGGACUGGUGUUGUUCGCGUAAUCCAAAAAGGUGAAUUGUUUACAUUACUUUUCUAUUUUCUAAUUCUUAUAACGUAAUAGGAAGUUCCUACAAUUGUUUCUGACCAAAAAGAUAACUUCAUUGUUCAAAUUGAAGUAAUCUUUACAAAAAUGUAUGUAUAAAGAUAAAACGGACGAACAAGGUGAUUUAUGAUGUUGAAAGUUGAUAGAUAUGUGUCUGUUUGGUUUAAAUUCAAGAGUUUUUGGAAGUUUGCGAGCUUAGAUGCAAUUUGCUUUAUUAAAAGCUAGCAGUAACUAUGCUUUUCAUUAGAAGUUUAAAAGGAUUUAGUUUCUUUCUAGAAAAAGAAACAUUGAUGAUGGUCUUUACCUUUCUUAGUUUUAUUGAUAAAUAUUAGUGUUUUGUAGUGAUGAAUGUUGAGGUUCAAGAAA